rnacentral:lncRNA from 1 species
AUGUGUUACUAUGGAUUCAUUCUAUAGGUUACUAUGGUUCAUUCUAUAGGUUACUAUGGAUUCAUUAUGUGGUUACUAUGGAUUCAUAUUAGGUUACUAUGGAUUAUUAUGUAGGUUACUAUGGAUUCAUUAUAGGUUACUAUGGGUUAUUCUAUAGGUUACUAUGGAUUCAUUCUAUAGGUUACUAUGGGUUCAUUAUGUAGGUUACUAUGGGUUUAUUAUGUAG